rnacentral:lncRNA from 1 species
CUACACAGCGUCCUCCGUGGCGAGCUGGAGGGAAGCGCUCUCAGCAGAGAGGGUCGCCCUCACCAAGAAGCCAAAGGGAAGAGGACAGAAUCUAUCUUGUAGGGACGCCCUUGGUCUUCAGAAGGAACACUUUUUCUGUUUCACAGAGAUCUGUGGAAUGUGUGGGUUCCCUGAAGAGGUGGACGGACCCCCGGGGUCGCGCGUUUUCUCAGCCCUGGGCCCGUAGCGGAGCUCGAUCCUUCCAGAGCUCAGGGCCAGAAAUGUUGCGAUUCCGAACACUUUGCCUUUCUUCUGAGAGGAGCCGCCCGGCAGACGCUCAUCAUUAAGAAGCAACGUAAUUAA